UGCUAAAGCCCCUGCCUUUGGAAGACUGUGAGGCCCCAGGGAAGAGCUCCCCGUGUUUGAAGUAUGUCCAGUCCACACGUGAUAAGUGAGCCCGCUUUCAGGUGCGAGUCUAUGCCCACCCCGCUGGCCUGAGCCCGGGGGAGCUCGGCGGGGCUCGCUGCUGAAGAGACAGCCAAGCAGGCCUGCUGGUCAUGCCCGCUAUUUAUGCUGUCCGAUCUGGUCGUGCACCCAAAGGAGGUGUAAGCAAGCCUGGAAGAAUCCCGAGGACCGCAGAAGUACGAAAAUACAGCGGGUGGGCAGACUCCUGAGGGGAGAACCUCACAAAACAGCACACUGAGGUCUAGCUCAGACUCCAGUGGGCUUCCCUAACGGAGUGUGAAGGGGCUGAUUUAUGCGCUGCACGUGCCCAUGAUGGCCCUUGGGUGAAGCAUGGAUCAUUUGGCUUGGUGCCUAUUUACAGCCACGUGGGAAUUCCUGGAAGCCGCUUCUGCAUCAAAAACUCAUUAUUUCUGGAUUGCCCCAGGAAAAGCCAGCUGGGCAGAGAGACUAUAAAUGCACUGUGGUUUACAUUUUCUUUGGCUUGCUGCCCUCUGAUGGGAGAAAGAAAGGAAGAACACUGGACAGUGAACGAAGAGCCUAAAUACCUCUUAGUCAUUCUAAAAAUGCUAUUAAAACUCAGUGAGCAAAGUG